AGGUCGUGAUGUGGAGACUUGUACAAUAAAUCCUUGUAGCUCUCUCAUGCCUCAUAUAAUUGAUUCACUCUCAAUUUGGGUGAAGGUAGUAAUAUCAUUCAUUAACUU